UUUUGACUAUACAAAGGUAUUGAAAUAAGACUUUAAUUGAGUGCUAAGAGAAUGGAAUUUCAUAAAAACUCUUUUUUAAUUUUAAAAAUUGAAGUUAAUUUUAUGUGUGAAGAGACAAUAAUAAAAAUUAAGGACAAGAAGACCCUAAGAAUUUUAAAAAUUUAAAUAAAAAUUUUAAUUUUAUUUAAAUUUUUUAAUUGGGGCGAUUAUUAAAUAUUAACAACUUUAAUUUUUUUAAAAAAGAACCAAUAUUAUUGGUUAUUUGUAAAAAUACUCUAGGGAUAACAGCGUAAUAAUUUUUGAUAGUUCUUAUAGACAAAAUAGUUUGCGACCUCGAUGUUGGAUUAGGAUUCUUUUUUAAUGAAGAAGUUAAAAAAAGAAGUUUGUUCAACUUUUAAAUUCCUACAUG
rnacentral:rRNA from 1 species